ACCCUAAGAACCAGUUUUCUGUUUCGCUCACCAAACAUAAAAAAAAAAAAAAAGAAAAACAAACCCUAACAAACCCUAGGAUAUGGCGAUAUGCUUUGUUCAUGGGAUAAUGAUGAUACAAAGAAAAUAAAAACAACUAGCCAGGGGACAAAGGCUUUAUCGUUUACUGAACAAGGCAUUCUAUGUGCAGAUGAGAUCGUCCAGACUUCAAACAACAUAUACGUCCAGGCUUUAUCGUUUAAGAGUUUCUCAUUUGAUUUUUAGGUUUUCUAUUUUGAUUCUCUCUUUAUACUGUCUUUAUUGUUGAUUUUUUUCUUUUAAUAAUUGUUUGUCCAGUUUAUUUACAGAUGUGAUUUUGGCUGAAGCUGGAAAAAGUUUAUUUACAUGAUUGUUAAGUCGAACCCUUUUUUCUCUUCCUGCUUCUUCCCCAUUCUCAACUAUAGAGAAACUGUAGCAUUCCUAUUCAUAUGACUCUCAAAAGAGCUUUAAGGGUAAACCAAGGCCAAUUGAAUACCAAUUGACUCUAUAGUUCCAAUUAAAGUUUCAGCAAUUUUCCAACAGGUCAAUUUCUCGAGUUUCAGGUGAUGCAAUCAAGUGUGAUUUGGGGGUUUAAUGGAUUUAACUCUUACAACAACAUAUACUUCAAUGCUUGAUAUAGCCUUUUCUCUGUCCAUUAUUGUGUCUUUGAUUGUUUAGGAUGUAUUCAUCUUGGUGAGAAUUUUAGACCUUGGAAUUUUUGUUCUUCGGUUGAUGCCCGACUUUCUGGCACUGGAUUUUUUUUUUGUUUUGUCCUGAUUGUUUUUGGGUUCAUUUUGUUCAACUUUAUGAAAUAGUGCGAAAGCUAAGAACUUUAUACAUAUAGGAUGGGGUUCUUAUGCUGUUAACACCAGAUUGUUUGACAGAGUUUUUCUUUUUGCAGAAAGUCACUCUGAAGGCGACCUUUUUUUCUUCUACUUCUUCAAAGAGGUCUGCAGAGUUGUGUAUGCCUGGAAUUACUAUUGGAGCAACACUAGGUACUGAGCUAGGGUAAAUGUCAAGACCAGCAAGGAGGGGAGCAAUAUUGAACCUCAAUUCACAACUGUCAAGUGAUGGCUUUGUUGUCCUUCAGUUUGGUGUUUGCAGCUAUAGUAAGCCCCUGUCCAGCUGUCCAGGGAAAACGCCACUUUAUUUAGCAGCUCAAGGUGGUUUUUUGGAAUGUGUUCAACAAUGUCUUGCAUGAGUAGUAGAUUGAAUUAAAAAAAAAAGUGCAGCUGCAAAAUUUCGAAGGAGGAGGGGUCCGAGAGCGGAUAGAUCUUCUUGCUUAGUUAGUAGCCGAAGAAGCUCUUCAUAGUUCAUACAGCACAAGCAAUGGUUUCGACCAGUGUUGUUUUUUCUGUUAACAAUUUUUCAAAACCCAAUUUUCAUCCGUGUGCCAGAUGCUUUGGUCCUGCUACCACCUGUUGCUCCAGAUGCGCAAGCCUGUUAGAUACUGGAGUGUUCCAUAUGUUAUAGCGUUGAAGUAUAAGUGCGGGGCAUGUAGAAGAGUCCUGGGAGAACUAUGACAAGCUAAAAUGCAUAUUCAAGCAGAUGUGUAAGUGCUAGGCAUUUUUCAUUGCUCAUGUCCCCUGUAGCCUUCCAUUUCACAAACCAUAUCUGUGGAGGCUAAAAUCAAGUGAGAAAUAAGAGAGAAUCGAAAGUCUGUAUACAAAAGUGGUAGAGGAAGUUGUGCAUGCCGUCGGUAACUGGACCAGCAGAAGCUCCACCAGAUUUGAAUGAUCCUAAGCCAAAGGCGAAGUCUGAUUACUGAGGAACUAUGAAGAGCUUCUGCUGUUAAAGUCAACAGUACAAAACAGUGGAUGCUGAAACUAUAUUUAUACUCCAGAUAAUUGGUAGCUUAAAUUUAAUAAAAAUGUCAAGUUUUAUAAUUUGCAAAUAAGUAGAGUUUCCGGUUGCAUGUUACGAUGUUAAUUUGAAUUUCCAAAGCCCAUUUGGCUAGAGCUCAUAUAUCUUAUGUAAUAAGUUUGUUGAAAUAAUAAGUCUUGCAUGUUGCAAGUCUUCAGAUGCUAGUGGGUAGUAUUUUGAUUUUAAUUAAUCUUUUAACUAAGUACAACAAUAAGGCAUUAUCUGUCAGGCUUUAAACAA